CCUAACACAUGCAAGUCGAGCGAUUUACUUCGGUAAAGAGCGGGCGGACGGGUGAGUAACGCGUGGGUAACCUGCCCUGUACACACGGAUAACAUACCGAAAGGUAUGCUAAUACGAGAUAAUAUACUUUUAUCUCAUGGUAGAAGUAUCAAAGCUCUGGCGGUACAGGAUGGACCCGCGUCUGAUUAGCUAGUUGGUAAGGUAACGGCUUACCAAGGCGACGAUCAGUAGCCGACCUGAGAGGGUGAUCGGCCACAUUGGAACUGAGACACGGUCCAAACUCCUACGGGAGGCAGCAGUGGGGAAUAUUGCACAAUGGGCGAAAGCCUGAUGCAGCAACGCCGCGUGAGCGAUGAAGGCCUUCGGGUCGUAAAGCUCUGUCCUCAAGGAAGAUAAUGACGGUACUUGAGGAGGAAGCCCCGGCUAACUACGUG
rnacentral:rRNA from 1 species